UACCAGCACCCCGAGUUGUCGGGACGAUUAUUGGGACUAAAGCAUCCGUAGCCGGCCUUACAAGUCCUCCGUUAAAUCCAGCUGCUUAACAGAUGGGCUGCGGAGGAUACUAUAAGACUAGGAGGCAGGAGAGGCAAGCGGUACUCAGUGGGUAGGGGUAAAAUCCGUUGAUCCAUUGAAGACCACCAGUGGCGAAGGCGGCUUGCCAGAAUGCGCUCGACGGUGAGGGAUGAAAGCUGGGGGAGCAAACCGG
rnacentral:rRNA from 1 species